AUGCUUGUGCCUCCAGCUCUUCCAAGCAUCGCUGAUGCUUUUCUGAAUCAAGGCUGGUGGAAGCAGGUUCGAAAGUAACUUUCAAAAGGGAAUUGGAUAAAGACCUGAAAGGGCAAACUUUGCAGGCCUUUGGAGGAACGAAUGGGAUUAAGUGAAUUGCUCUCUCAAAGAGCUUGCACAGGCAUGAUGGUGAAAUGAUUAGGAAUCUGAGAGUUCAUGUGCACCACUGAUCGUGAAGCUGAGAUGGUCUGACUCUCCCACAGCCUCUGUCCAGCUCUCCAUUCAGAGAGACAUUGUCAGAGACCAAGAAGCA